rnacentral:rRNA from 1 species
AGUGAACGCUGGCGGCAGGCCUAACACAUGCAAGUCGAACGGCAGCACAGCAGUAGCAAUACUGUGGGUGGCGAGUGGCGGACGGGUGAGGAAUACAUCGGGAUCUACCUUUUCGUGGGGGAUAACGUAGGGAAACUUACGCUAAUACCGCAUACGCCCUACGGGGGAAAGCGGCGGACCGCAAGGCGUCGCGCGAUGAGAUGAACCGAUGUCCGAUUAGCUAGUUGGCGGGGUAAAGGCCCACCAAGGCGACGAUCGGUAGCUGAUCUGAGAGGAUGAUCAGCCACACUGGAACUGAGACACGGUCCAGACUCCUACGGGAGGCAGCAGUGGGGAAUAUUGGACAAUGGGCGCAAGCCUGAUCCAGCCAUGCCGCGUGGGUGAAGAAGGCCUUCGGGUUGUAAACUGCUUUUGUACGGAACGAACGGUAGAGCUCUAAUAAAGCUUGCUAAUGACGGUACCGUAAGAAUAAGACACCGGCUAACUACGUGCCAGC